CGGGAGCGUGGAGAGUAAGAUAGAGAGGACGAGGGAGGAAGAGAAAUCUUUGAGAAGGAGUGAGAGAAAUCUUAAUUAGGUACAUAGGCCACACAUCCUUCACUGCAAUUGAUAAGCACACAGGCCACGCCUCCUUCGCUGAGACUGACAAGCACACAGGCCACGCCUCCUUCACUAUCUCUGACAAGAACACAAGCCACACCUCCUUCACUAAGUCUUAUAGUAUGCGUAUCCUGGGCCGAACAGCACUAACGUUCUCAAAGCAGGAUAUCACGUUUGUCUUUACAUGGCUAACGGAUCGGGCCAUGACCUUCGGCUGCCACCUGGAACAACAAAACACACACACACACACGCUUGGCAAAGAGAGAGCAGAGUGUGUUUAAAGCAAUGGGUUGUGUGACCAGUGCCAGCAUACUUCAGCAGCCUGAGAUUUAAACACCUGAGACAAAGUAGUAUGGAAGCAGGAGGCUUGGACACACACACACACACACACACACACACACACACACACACACACACACACACACACACACACACACAGAUCCAUAGGGCAGCUGGGGGUUGUUUAGGAUAGUAGAAAUGAGACACACACACACACACACACACACACACACACACACACACACA
ensembl:lncRNA